rnacentral:rRNA from 1 species
UACGUAGGGUGCAAGCGUUAAUCGGAAUUACUGGGCGUAAAGCGUGCGUAGGCGGCUAUGUAAGACUGAUGUGAAAUCCCAGGGCUUAACCUUGGAACUGCAUUUGUGACUGCAUAGCUAGAGUACGGUAGAGGGGGAUGGAAUUCCGCGUGUAGCAGUGAAAUGCGUAGAUAUGCGGAGGAACACCGAUGGCGAAGGCAAUCCCCUGGACCUGUACUGACGCUCAUGCACGAAAGCGUGGGGAGCAAACAGG